rnacentral:snRNA from 1 species
ACUCGCAAAUACUUGUAA